rnacentral:rRNA from 1 species
UGGGGAAUAUUGGACAAUGGGGGGAACCCUGAUCCAGCCAUGCCGCGUGUGUGAAGAAGGCCUUAUGGUUGUAAAGCACUUUAAGCGAGGAGGAGGGUACUGGUAUUAAUACUACCAGCUACUGGACGUUACUCGCAGAAUAAGCACCGGCUAACUCUGUGCCAGCAGCCGCGGUAAUACAGAGGGUGCGAGCGUUAAUCGGAUUUACUGGGCGUAAAGCGUGCGUAGGCGGCUAAUUGAGUCGGAUGUGAAAUCCCCGAGCUUAACUUGGGAAUUGCAUUCGAUACUGGUUAGCUAGAGUGUGGGGGAGGAUGGUAGAAUUCCAGGUGGAGCGGUGAAGUGCGUAGAGAUCUGGAGGAAUACCGCUGGCGAAGGCAGCCAUCUGGCCUAACACUGACGCUGAGGUACGAAAGCAUGGGGAGCAAACAGG